CGGCACCUCAAGUGGUCAGGAUGAUUAUUGGGCCUAAAGCAUCCGUAGCCGGCUCUGUAAGUUUUCGGUUAAAUCUGUAUGCUCAACAUACAGGCUGCCGGGAAUACUGCAGAGCUAGGGAGUGGGAGAGGUAGACGGUACUCGGUAGGAAGGGGUAAAAUCCUUUGAUCUAUUGAUGACCACCUGUGGCGAAGGCGGUCUACCAGAACACGUCCGACGGUGAGGGAUGAAAGCUAGGGGAGCGAACCGGAUUAGAUACCCGAGUAGUCC
rnacentral:rRNA from 1 species